rnacentral:lncRNA from 1 species
GUACAUCCCAUCGCUCUUCUCCACCGCCUUCAACUUCACGCUCCAGAUGUACCUGCAGUCACAGAGCAAGAACUUCGUCAUCACCUACCUCGCCUUCAUAAGCUUCUUCCUCCACCUGUUCCUGUCCUGGCUCUUGACCGCCAAGUUCCACCUCGGACUCGCUGGGGUCAUGUUGUCCAUGAUCAUCGCCAUGUGGAUUCCGGUGCUUGGGCAGCUUGCCUUCGUGCUCUUUGGUGGCUGCCCUCUCACGUGGACAGGGUUCUCGUCCACCGCGUUCACCGACCUCCUCCCCAUCCUCAAGCUCUCCGUAUCCUCUGGUGUCAUGCUCUGGUAAGAACAAGCUUCAGCAUGUACAUAUUUGAAAUUUCAGUUGUCUUCCAAGUGUGCACCCACAUUUUACACUUGACUGUCCAUAUCAAAAUUUCAGAUGCACCUAGUAACAAUGCAUGUUUUCCCUCCUAUUUCUCUCUUCAGUUUGGAGCUGUGGUACAACAGCAUAUUGGUGCUCCUAACUGGGUACAUGAAGAAUGCAGAGGUUGCACUUGACGCUCUUUCAAUAUGGUAAUAUAUACUGGUUUACUUCACGGUCACUGUGUCAUUGAUUCAAGUUUUUACAUGAGCUUUGGUUUUCCACUAUGGAUAUUGCUAUUAGUUUAGAGAAUGAUAUAUAGUUGGUCAUCAGUGCACAUAUUUCAUUUGCCUAUGUGAAAUGUGCAGCCUUAAUAUCAAUGGUUGGGAGAUGAUGAUUUCUGUCGGCUUUUUGGCUGCAACAGGGUAAACAUCUUGAUCCAAGAGCUCGUUGUUAUUCGUUAACUGAUCAUGUGACCUAACCAGUUUCUGACGGUAAUGAUUUUUUGUGUUCCUAGAGUGCGUGUGGCAAACGAGCUUGGAGCUAGAAGCGCAAGAAAGGCCAAGUUUGCCAUCUACAACGUAGUCACCAUUUCUUUCUUGAUAGGCGUCGUGUCAUUUGUGUUCUUCCUACUCUUCCGCGGAAAGCUUUCUUACGUAUUUACCGAGAGUGAAGAGGUAGCUGCCGCAGUUGCUGACUUGUCACCUCUUCUGGCCUUCUCCAUAUUGGUGAACAGCGUUCAGCCAGUGCUAUCAGGUCUGCUUCAUUCAGCAUUUGACUUGCUAUAAUAUUAUUACAAUCAUUUUGUUUGGUUUACCAAAACUAUAACCUUUUUUAUUUCCGUUUUUAGGUGUUGCUGUUGGUUCAGGUUGGCAAAGCAUAGUUGCCUAUGUUAACCUGACAACAUAUUACUUGAUCGGUAUCCCUCUUGGAGCAAUCCUAGGUUACGUUGCUGGGUAUCAUGUGAAGGUAAGAUAAUUAGUCUAGGCUACAUUUGACGUAUCAGUCAGUCAUUUACUAAACUUAUUAUCCUUGUGCAUCUUGGGUUGUCGUGCUAACUCUCCUUGGUUGUUGCACUGUAGGGCAUUUGGAUCGGCAUGCUGCUUGGAACAGUGGUCCAAACUAUUGUACUUCUGUUCAUAAUAAUCAGGACUGACUGGCAAAAAGAGGUCAGCUAGCUUGUCUAAUGCUAAAUCAUCACAUGUACUAAAAAAUUGUUACCUACUGUAUAAAAUUUUCAUAAGAUUGACCUAAUUAAAUAACAGUUCAUUGCACAAAAAAAAAAUAUUGACUGCUAGAAGAGAGUGAACGGAUGAGAUAUAUAACUCUAUGGUUUCUAUUCCUGAUUAUAGGUAGAGGUUGCUCAGGAGAGAUUGCAGAGAUGGAACAUGGAAGGCAACAAAAGAACGGCAGACUCAAAGGGAAGUCCAUGAGAUUAAAAAAGAUCUGGCUCGAGUGUCGAAUAGCUCAUUGAAGGUAGAACUCAGUGGUACUCUGCUCGGUGUUCGCGAACCCUUUCAAAGGAUAUAUCUACAUUUUUUUUUCACAAUGCCAAGAAUGGGAACUGGUGGAAGGAACAUUAGCAGACGCAGACGUCCCGGGGAUCGUAUCCUCGAGAUCGAGCAAACGACAACAUGACCAGCAACAUUGAUGCUCCACUAGUGAAGGGAGAGCCUGCGUGUGUGCUAGCUAGUGGCACAAGUUUUGUUUCUGUAAUUAUUUUGGCCGUUGUAGUGAUGUUUUUCUCAUGAGAGUAACAUGUUGCGAUUCCGCAAACAUGCUAUUUUGUAAGUACAUCAAUUGCCAAUUGGACUUAUCAUAGAUCUUCGGUGUUGUUCCUCAAAAAGAAAAAAGAUCUUCGGUGCUGCUGUGAUUACGAAACAAUCGAUUAUUCAGUUGUCUUGUGAUGAUAAACUUUGCAUAUAAUGUUGUACCAGAAUAUAUGUGUCUUUUGAAGAGGAGAAUGUGCUAGUGUAUCCGUGCAACUGUAUUAGUAUAACAGAAUAGAAAGGCAGCAAGGUUGAGGAGCACGCCACAGUGAAUUGGUCCGGGAAAUGGUAGACGCAAGAGGAGAGCAAGGAGGCACGAAGCUCACCUUGCGUGGAACGCAGGCGGAUGGGCCCGACGCCGGAGACGGCGAGACCCCUACAGAUACGUCGGCCAGGCUCCAUCGGAUCGCCGGCGAGUCCCCUACAGAUCCGACGGCCUGGCGCCAUUGGACCGCCUGCUGCUAGCAAGCUGCUGCCCUGCCCCUCCCCACUCCCCUCCGCAAGCUCCGGUUUUAAUCUAGGCUCCUCGGCCGCCGGCUUCAUCCCCAGCUCAGCUCCGCUCCCAUCCGCCGCCGCCGUCGAGCGGGGUAGAGAUAGAGAGAGUCCCAGUCACUGACACCCUGGCCCAAAAAACGCAUCCUCUUUCGUCUCGCUUACAAGCUGGCCCCACGUGUCAGGCCGAAACGAAUCCAACCUCUCGCGUAGGUAGAACGCAC